rnacentral:rRNA from 1 species
AUUGAACGCUGGCGGCAGGCCUAACACAUGCAAGUCGAACGAGUGGCGGACGGGUGAGUAAUGUCUGGGAAACUGCCUGAUGGAGGGGGAUAACUACUGGAAACGGUAGCUAAUACCGCAUACCAUCGGAUGUGCCCAGAUGGGAUUAGCUAGUAGGUGGGGUAAAGGCUCACCUAGGCGACGAUCCCUAGCUGGUCUGAGAGGAUGACCAGUCAACCUUGGACGGAGACACGGUCCAGACUCCUACGGGAGGCCGCAGGGGGGAAUAUGGGAAAAUGGGCGGAAGCCUGAUGGAGCCAUGCCGCGUGUAUGAAGAAGGCCUUCGGGUUGUAAAGGUCUUUCAGCGGGGAGGCGUUACCCGCAGAAGAAGCACCGGCUAACUCCGUGCCAGCAGCCGCGGUAAUUC